CUGCGCCUCUCCCGUGUCAACACUCCGUUCAUGUUUAGAGUCACACCUGAGAAUAUCAACCAUUUAAAGAGCCGCAGCAGUGGUGUUUCGUCUCCGCAGUGAGGUCCAGUGAAGAGCAUUUCUAAUUGAGGUUGCCCAGUACAUCGUGUUGUUGGGAUUCUGCGUUGCCAGUGUAGACCCGGGGAGAGAGGCUGCGUGUAGUGAGACGACCAGGGGGGAAAUUAGGCAGAGCUCAGCAGCCGCGAAGUGCAGAGCGAGGGAAGGGUUGGAGACACACCAUGUCUUCUGGAUGUUUCCUGGUUUACGCAGAUGGAGUCAGGUAAUCUUGUAGCUGAACAUUGUAGGUUUAUGUCGAUUUACCCUUUUUCCUUUGGAAGAGCAUGUCAAACUGGCCUUAAUAACAUUUUCAUUAUUACGGACUAUAUAAUGUGUUAAUAAUAUGAAGAAUUGCUAAAUUAGUUAUCAAUUUCCUUUUCAUGAACAAUUGAUUUAUUGUUUUUCUAUUAAGGUACAGGAGAGUUGGGUCACAGCUGUGACCUUAUGUUAUCACAAACCACAGUAGGCAUAGCAGCCCUCACAUUCUUACCCGUUCUCCUCCUGACCCUGUGUACCUGGACAUACUAUACAAAGACAUGGAUACAAAACACACAACACACAAAGGAAAGACAGCGGACAGGGCACAGAUAACAAAGAGUCAUACAGCAAAAAAUAUAUAAAAGAAAGAUAUAAACAAAGGUAUGGAUUUUAUACACAUAGUAUUGGUAAGAGCUGGAUAAAAAACUGUCCAUGUGCGGCUGUUACAGUGUUGUUACAAUGUUGUUACAGUGAACUUUGAAGUUAAUGUUUUACA